rfam:Aspergillus flavus NRRL3357 scf_1106286418846 genomic scaffold, whole genome shotgun sequence.
GGUCCUGUAGCUCAGUCGGUUAGAGCGUGGUGCUAAUAACGCCAAGGUCGCGAGUUCGACCCUCGUCGGGAUCA